rnacentral:rRNA from 1 species
ACUCCUACGGGAGGCAGCAGUGGGAAUAUUGCACAAUGGGGGCAACCCUGAUGGAGCGACGCCGCGUGGGGAUGACGGGCUUCGGCUUGUAAACCCUGUCAUUCGUGAGCAACGAUGACGAGGUGAACAAUCUCGGCACUUGAUAGUAGCGAAAGAGGAAGGGACGGCUAACUCUGUGCCAGCAGCCGCGGUAAUACAGAGGUCCCGAGCGUUGUUCGGAUUCACUGGGCGUAAAGGGUGCGUAGGUGGCAGAGUAAGUCCGAUGUGAAAUCUCCGGGCCCAACCGGCAAAGAUCAUUGGAAACUACCCUGCUGGAGGGUUGGAGAGGGGACUGGAAUUCUCGGUGUAGCAGUGAAAUGCGUAGAUAUCGAGAGGAACACCAGUGGCGAAGGCGAGUCCCUGGACAACACCUGACACUGAGGCACGAAAGCUGGGGGAGCAAACAGGAUUAGAUACCCUGGUAGGCUCU